rnacentral:rRNA from 1 species
UGGUCAAGUUAUUAAGGGCGCAGGGCGGAUGCUUGGCACUAAGAGCCGAUGAAGGACGCGAUAAGCUGCGAUAAGCUUCGGGGAGUUGCACGUAAACUUUGAUCCGAAGAUUUCCGAAUGAGGAAACUCACUUAGAGUAAUGUCUAAGUAUCAUUAAGUGAAUACAUAGCUUAGUGAGGGGAACCCGGGGAACUGAAACAUCUAAGUACCCGGAGGAAAAGAAAGAAAUUCGAUUCCGUAAGUAGCGGCGAGCGAACGCGGAAUAGCCCAAACCAGUGAAGUUUUCUUCGCUGGGGUUGCGGACACAUCAUCAACAAAGAGGUAUCGUAAACGAAGAGAGUUGGAAAGCUCCGCUAUAAAGUGUAAUAGCCACGUAGUUGAAACG